rnacentral:rRNA from 1 species
AUUGAACGCUGGCGGCAUGCCUUACACAUGCAAGUCGAACGGCAGCACGGAGCUUGCUCUGGUGGCGAGUGGCGAACGGGUGAGUAAUAUAUCGGAACGUACCCUAGAGUGGGGGAUAACGUAGCGAAAGUUACGCUAAUACCGCAUACGAUCUAAGGAUGAAAGUGGGGGAUCGCAAGACCUCAUGCUCGUGGAGCGGCCGAUAUCUGAUUAGCUAGUUGGUAGGGUAAAAGCCUACCAAGGCAUCGAUCAGUAGCUGGUCUGAGAGGACGACCAGCCACACUGGAACUGAGACACGGUCCAGACUCCUACGGGAGGCAGCAGUGGGGAAUUUUGGACAAUGGGCGAAAGCCUGAUCCAGCAAUGCCGCGUGAGUGAAGAAGGCCUUCGGGUUGUAAAGCUCUUUUGUCAGGGAAGAAACGGUGGGAGCUAAUAUCUCUUGCUAAUGACGGUACCUGAAGAAUAAGCACCGGCUAACUACGUGCCAGCAGCCGCGGUAAUACGUAGGGUGCAAGCGUUAAUCGGAAUUACUGGGCGUAAAGCGUGCGCAGGCGGUUUUGUAAGUCUGAUGUGAAAUCCCCGGGCUCAACCUGGGAGUUGCAUUGGAGACUGCAAGGCUAGAAUCUGGCAGAGGGGGGUAGAAUUCCACGUGUAGCAGUGAAAUGCGUAGAUAUGUGGAGGAACACCGAUGGCGAAGGCAGCCCCCUGGGUCAAGAUUGACGCUCAUGCACGAAAGCGUGGGGAGCAAACAGGAUUAGAUACCCUGGUAGUCCACGCCCUAAACGAUGUCUACUAGUUGUCGGGUCUUAAUUGACUUGGUAACGCAGCUAACGCGUGAAGUAGACCGCCUGGGGAGUACGGUCGCAAGAUUAAAACUCAAAGGAAUUGACGGGGACCCGCACAAGCGGUGGAUGAUGUGGAUUAAUUCGAUGCAACGCGAAAAACCUUACCUACCCUUGACAUGGCUGGAAUCCUUGAGAGAUCAGGGAGUGCUCGAAAGAGAACCAGUACACAGGUGCUGCAUGGCUGUCGUCAGCUCGUGUCGUGAGAUGUUGGGUUAAGUCCCGCAACGAGCGCAACCCUUGUCAUUAGUUGCUACGAAAGGGCACUCUAAUGAGACUGCCGGUGACAAACCGGAGGAAGGUGGGGAUGACGUCAAGUCCUCAUGGCCCUUAUGGGUAGGGCUUCACACGUCAUACAAUGGUACAUACAGAGCGCCGCCAACCCGCGAGGGGGAGCUAAUCGCAGAAAGUGUAUCGUAGUCCGGAUUGUAGUCUGCAACUCGACUGCAUGAAGUUGGAAUCGCUAGUAAUCGCGGAUCAGCAUGUCGCGGUGCAUACGAGCCCGGGUCU